AACGAACGCUGGCGGCAGGCUUAACACAUGCAAGUCGAGCGCCCCGCAAGGGGAGCGGCAGACGUGUGAGUAACGCGUGGGAAUCUACCGUACCCUACGGAAUAGCUCCGGGAAACUGGAAUUAAUACCGUAUACGCCCUACGGGGGAAAGAUUUAUCGGGGUAUGUUGAGCCCGCGUUGGAUUAGCUAGUUGGUGGGGUAAAGGCCUACCAAGGCGACGAUCCAUAGCUGGUCUGAGAGGAUGAUCAGCCACAUUGGGACUGAGACACGGACCAAACUCCUACGGGAGGCAGCAGUGGGGAAUAUUGGACAAUGGGCGCAAGCCUGAUCCAGCCAUGCCGCGUGAGUGAUGAAGGUCUUAGGAUUGUAAAGCUCUUUCACCGGUGAAGAUAAUGACGGUAACCGGAGAAGAAGCCCCGGCUAACUUCGUGCCAGCCGCCGCCGUAA
rnacentral:rRNA from 1 species